AGAGUUUGAUCCUGGCUCAGAUUGAACGCUGGCGGCAGGCCUAACACAUGCAAGUCGAGCGGAUGAGUGAGCUUGCUCCAUGAUUCAGCGGCGGACGGGUGAGUAAUGCCUAGGAAUCUGCCUGGUAGUGGGGGACAACGUUUCGAAAGGAACGCUAAUACCGCAUACGUCCUACGGGAGAAAGCAGGGGACCUUCGGGCCUUGCGCUAUCAGAUGAGCCUAGGUCGGAUUAGCUAGUUGGUGAGGUAACGGCUCACCAAGGCGACGAUCCGUAACUGGUCUGAGAGGAUGAUCAGUCACACUGGAACUGAGACACGGUCCAGACUCCUACGGGAGGCAGCAGUGGGGAAUAUUGGACAAUGGGCGAAAGCCUGAUCCAGCCAUGCCGCGUGUGUGAAGAAGGUCUUCGGAUUGUAAAGCACUUUAAGUUGGGAGGAAGGGCAGUAAGUUAAUACCUCGCUGUUUUGACGUUACCGACAGUAUAAGCACCGGCUAACUUCGUGCCAGCAGCCGCGGUAAUACGAAGGGUGCAAGCGUUAAUCGGAAUUACUGGGCGUAAAGCGCGCGUAGGUGGUUCAGCAAGUUGGAUGUGAAAGCCCCGGGCUCAACCUGGGAACUGCAUCCAAAACUACUGAGCUAGAGUACGGUAGAGGGUGGUGGAAUUUCCUGUGUAGCGGUGAAAUGCGUAGAUAUAGGAAGG
rnacentral:rRNA from 1 species